rnacentral:lncRNA from 1 species
AGUUGGGAUUGUAAUUUAGAAAUUAGGAUAGCAAGAGUUUUUGUUGAUGUAUGGACAUUUUUUUGAUUAUUUGAUCAAUAGACAUUCUUUUAAAUUUUUUUUUUAAAACUGCUAUUUUGGAAAAGUUAUCAUUUUUCCUAAAACAAUAUUGUAGAUUUGGGAUUUUAAUUUAUAAAUUAGGACAACAAGAGUUUUUUUUGAUAUAUGAACAUUUUUUAAGAAUUUUAGGUUAUAUUUUUUAAAUAAAUUUUCUAAAAACUUCUAUUUUAGGAAAGUUAUCAUUUUUGUAGAGAAUAUUGUAGAUUUGAAAUUUUGAUUCCGAAAUUGGGAUAACAAGAGUUUUUUUAUUUAUGGAUGGGUAUAUUUUGAGAAAUUUUGAUCAAUAGGUGGCUUUUUAAAAAUAAACUUUCUAAAAACUUUUAUUUAAGAAAAUUUAUAAUUUUGUAGAGAAAUAUUGUAGAUUUUGGAUUGUAAUUUAGAAAUUAGGAUAGUAAGAGUUUUGACUGAUAGAUGACAUUUUUUUAGAUUAUUAGAUCAAUAGGUUUAAUUUUUAAAUAAAUUUUCUAAAACUGAUAUUUUUGGAAAGUUAUCAUUUUUCUAGAGAAAUAUUAUAUCUUUGGGAGUGUAAUUUAUAAAUUAGGAUAACAAGAGUUUUUGUUGAUAUAUGGACAUGUUUUAAGAUUACUUGAUCAAUAGGCAUUGUUUUAAAAAAAAAUUAAAAACCUCAUAUUUUGGGAUAGUUAUCGUUUUUGCGUAAAAAAUAUUGUAGAUUUGCGAAUGUAAUUUUGAAAUUAGGAUAACCAUAGUUUUUGUUGAUAGAUGUGCAUUUUUGUAAGAUUUUUUUUUAUCAUUAGGUUAUAUUCUUUAAAUAAAUUUUCUAAAAAAUUAUACUUUAGGAAAUUUAUCAUUUUUGUAGAAAAAUAUUGUAGAUUUGAAAUUUUAAUUCAGAAAUUGGAAAUUGGGAUAAUAAGAGUUUUUGUUUAUGGAUGGGCAUAUUUUUAGAAUUUUUGAUCAAUAGGUGGCUUUUUAAAAAUAAACUUUCUAAAAACUAUUAUUUUAGGAAAUUUAUAAUUUUGUAGAUAAAUAUUGUAGAUUUUGUAUUUUAAUUUAGAAAUUAGGAUAACAAGAGCUUUGGUUGAUAGAUGACAUUUUUUUAGAUUAUUAGAUCAAUAGGUUUAAUUUUAAAUAAAUUUUCUAAAAUUGCUAUUUCGGGAAAGUUGUUAUUUUUGUAAAGAAAGAUUAUAUCUUUGGGAUUGUAAUUUAUAAAUUAGGAUAACAAAAUUUUUUGUUUAUAUAUGGCAUUUUUAAGAUUAUUUGAUCAAUAUGCAUUCUUUUUUAAAAAAGAAUUUAAAAAAAACUGCUAUUUUGGGAAAGUUAUCGUUUAUGCAUAAAAAAUAUUGUAGAUUUGAGAAUGUAAUUUUGAAAUUAGGAUAACAAGAGUUUUUGUUGAUAGAUGUGUAUUUUUUAAGAAUUUUUUUAUAAUUAGGUUAUAUUUUUUAAAUAAAUUUUCUAAAAACUUCUAUUUUAGGAAAUUUAUCAUUUUUGUUGAGAAAUAUUGUAGAUUUGAGAUUUUGAUUCAGAAAUUGGGAUAACAAGAGUUUUUUUUAUGGAUGGGCAUAUUUUUAGAAUUUUUGAUCAAUAGGUGGCUUUUCAAAAAUAAACUUUCUAAAAACUAUCAUUUUAGGAAAAUUAUAAUUUUGUAGAGAAGUAAUGUAGAUUUUGGAUUGUAAUUUAGAAAUUAGGAUAACAAGAGUUUUUGUUGAUAGAUGACAUUCUUUUAGUUUAUUUAAUCAAUAGGUUCAAUUUUUAAAUAAAUGUUCUAAAACUUCUAUUUUGGGAAAGUUAUCAUUUUUGUAGAAAAAGAUUAUAGAUUUGGGAUUGUAAUUUAGAAAUUAGGAUAACAAGAGUGUUUGUUGAUAUAUGGACAUUUUUUUUGAUUAUUUGAUCAAUAUGUUCAAUUUUUAAAUAAAAUUUUCUAAAACUGCUAUUUUGGGAAAAUUAUCAUUUUUGUAAAGAAAGAUUAUUGAUUUGGAAUUGUAAUUUAGAAAUUUGGAUAACAAGAGUGUUUGUUGAUAUAUGGACAUUCUCUUUGAUUAUUUGAUCUACAGGUUCUAUUUUUAAAUAAAAAUAUCUAAAACUGCUAUUUUGGGAAAAUUAUCAAUUUUGUAAAGAAAGAUUAUAGAUUUAGGAUUGUAAUUUACAAAUUAGGAUUACAAGAGUUUUUGUUGAUAUAUAGACAUUCUUUUAGAUUAUCUGAUCAAUAGACAUUCUUUUUAAUUUUUUUUUUAAAAAACUGCUAUUUUGAGAAAGUUAUCGUUUUUGCAUAAAAAAUAUUGUAGUUUUGGGAUUGUAAUUUAGAAAUUAGGAUAACAAGAGUUUUUGUUGAUAUAUGGACAUUUUUUGAUUAUUUGAUGAAUAGACAUUCUUUUUAAAUAUUUUUUUUUAAAAACUGCUAUUUUGGGAAAGUUAUCAUUUUUCCUAAACAAUAUUAUAGAUUUGUGAUUAUAAUUUAGGAAUUAGGAUAACAAGAGUUUUUUUGGAUAUAUGGACAUUUUUUAAGAAUUUUUUAUCAUUAGGUUAUAUUUUUAAAAAUAAAAUUUCAAAAAACUUCUAGUGUAGGAAAGUUAUCAUUUUUCUAGAGAAAUAUUGUAGAUUUGAAAUUUUGAUUCAGAAAUUGGGAUAACAAGAGUUUUUUUUUUAUGGAUGGGCAUAUUUUUAGAAUUUUUGAUCAAUAGGUGGCUUUU